rnacentral:misc_RNA from 1 species
GAUGAAGAACGUAGCGAAAUGCGAUAAGUAAUGUGAAUUGCAGAAUUUAGUGAAUCAUCGAAUCUUUGAACGCACAUUGCGCCCAUUAGCAUUCUAGUGGGCAUGCCUGUCCGAGCGUCAUUUCAACCCUCAAGCCCCCGGGCUUGGUGUUGGGGAUCGGCGAGCCUCCGCGCCCGCCGUCCCCUAAAUCUAGUGGCGGUCUCGCUGUAGCUUCCUCUGCGUAGUAGCACACCUCGCACUGGGAAACAGCGCGGCCACGCCGUUAAACCCCCAACUUCUGAACGUUUGACCUCGGAUCAGGUAGGAAUACCCGCUGAACUUAAGCAUAUCAAUAAGCGGAGGA